rnacentral:misc_RNA from 1 species
UCUCCGUAGGUGAACCUGCGGAGGGAUCAUUACUGAGUGAGGGCCUCCCCGGCCCGACCUCCAACCCUUUGUGAACACAACUUGUUGCUUCGGGGGCGACCCUGCCGUUUCGACGGCGAGCGCCCCCGGAGGCCUUCUAACACUUCAUCUUAGCGUCUGAGUUUAAGUAAAAUUAAACAAAACUUUCAACAACGGAUCUCUUGGUUCUGGCAUCGAUGAAGAACGCAGC